rnacentral:rRNA from 1 species
AUUCCUUUGAUUUUGGGGAAGAUAUAAAGCGAGCGGCACUUAUAAUACAUGCUAAGGGAACGGAAAAUAUGGGAUCUCAUGUAAGUACGUCCUAUACAGGUGAGUAAUGUUCUGGAACUAACCAAUUGGAUGGGAAUAGAAUUCCCAUAAUAAAUCUGAUCCCCCGGCGGCAUCUACGAUGCCGCUGGGGGGUCAUGAUAUGGAACCUGUUGGAAUCUAGUCGAUAGGGAUAUAGGACCGACAUAGUCGGUCCCAUAGACCAUCGGUGUCUAGGGAUAUCCCCGUCGGCGUGCGACUAUGUCGCACGCCGACGCGCCACCUAAGUGGCUAGUAUAUCCCGAUAUAGGACCGACUAUGUCGGUCCUAUAAUGACGCCGGGGACCAUUUACGGGAUUCUAAUAAAGGGGCAGAACCCCUAUGGGCCAAUUGAUAGGCUGGAAUCGUAUUAGGUAAAAGGGGAUAGAGCCCCUUGCCAAAGAUGCGUAGCUGAGAGGCCACACUUCCACUGAAACAAGGGGAAGACUCGUAUAGAGGCAGCAGUAAAGAAUAUUGUGCAAUGUAUGAAAGUAUGACACAGAGAUGUCGCAUAAGAUAGACUGUCAAAUCUACGUGCCAGCAGACGCGGUUAUACGUAAGGUCUAAGUUUUUAUCAGAAAAGGCGUAAAGGGUGUGUAGGCAGGAUCCCAUCGGCAAGGCGUCACCUAGGCGGCAUCUACGAUGCCGCUGGGAGGCUAUGCCUCGGACCCAUGGGAUGUGAGGUUUAAAGGGGUAAAUGGAACUUUUAUGUAGCGGUAGAAUGCUUUAAUAUAAAAUGGAACACCGGAGGCGAAGGCAAUUUACUAAUUAAAUCUGACGCUGAGACACGAAAGUAAGGGGAGCAAACAGGAUUAGAUACCCUGGUAGUCCUUACCGUAAACUAUGAAUAUUAGAUCACAGCAGCCAGGGGCGGCCGCCCCCGGCGAAUGUGGUCGACGAAAACUCAAGAAAAUCCCGCCUGAAGAGUACGAUCGCAAGAUUAAAAUUCAAAAAAUUUGGCGGUUCACUAAACCAAUUAGAGGAGCGUGUAGUUUAAUUCGAUAAUCCGCGAUUAACCUUACCAAAACUUGAAUAAUUCAAAAUAGGGAUAUCUUCGGAUAUCCCGAUAUAGGACCGACGGUGAGAUCCGCGCCACCUAAGUGGCUAGGAUAUCCCCGUCGGUCCCAUUAACGGUUAGAGAUGACUAUUAAUUACAGGUAUUGCAUGGCCGUCGUCAGUUCGUGUUGUGAAAGAAAUAGAACGAACUUAACCCUUAAUCGUUAUUAUAGAACGGCCCCACGGGGUCCUUUUACGAUAUUAAGGAUGACGUCAGGUCCUUAUGAUCCUAAUGUUUUGGGCUACAUAUGCGCUACAAUUUUUUAUACAAAGAGAAACUUAAAUUGAAAGAGUAAACUCUAAAGUAAAAAUUCGGAUUGCCCCUUGAAAUUGGGGCCUGAAGUUGGAUUUAAUAGUAAUCGGAAAGUAGAGCGUUCUGGUGAAUACGGCUCUAGUGUUCGUACAAAUCGCCCGUCACCUCCACCAAGUAAAUAAUCCCAAAGUGUCAAGCUAUAAUUAAAGUAAUGGGGCUAAAUAUUUAAUAUCGCUAAAGCCAGCGGCGUCUUACGACGCUGGAUCCCGUCGGCGUGCGACUAUGUCGCGCGCCGACGUGCCACCUAAGUGGCUAGGAUAUCUUUAAUUCACUAGACAGGCUUGAUAUGACGGAAAGUUUAUGAGGUUGAGGAAGUCGUAACAUAGCGAGGGUAUUGGAAAAUGUCCUCGGAUUAAU